GCCUAGCCGUAAAAAUUGAUACCCUUAGUACACACACUAUCCGCCAGGGUACUAUAAGCAUUAAGCUCAAAACCCAAAGGACCUGGCGGUGCUUUAAAACCCCCUAGAGGAGCCUGUUCUGUAACUGAUAAUCCCCACUUAACCUCACCCUCCCUUGCCAUCACCGCCUAUAUACCGCCGUCGUCAGCUUACAUUGUGAAAACCCCAUAGUGAGCGAAAUUGGUAAAACCCUAAACGUCAGGUCGAGGUGUAGUAAAUGGGGGGGGAAGAAAUAGGCUACAUUCGUUCACUAACGCACUACGAACUAAAUGUUGAAAUACAUACACGAAGGAGGAUUUAGCAGUAAGAAGAAGGUAGAGUAUUCUCCUGAAACCGGCUCUAAAGCACG
rnacentral:rRNA from 1 species